UACGUAGGGGGCAAGCGUUGUCCGGAAUCAUUGGGCGUAAAGAGCGUGUAGGCGGCCAGAUAAGUCCGCUGUGAAAUCUCGAGGCUCAACUUCGAGCUGUCGGUGGAAACUGUCUGGCUAGAGUCCGGAAGAGGAGAAUGGAAUUCCUGGUGUAGCGGUGAAAUGCGCAGAUAUCAGGAAGAACACCCGUGGCGAAGGCGGCCUUCUGGACAGUGACUGACGCUGAGACGCGAAAGCGUGGGGAGCAAACAGG
rnacentral:rRNA from 1 species